AGCGGGUAGAUAGCGAUAGAUAGAUAGAGAGAUAGAGAGAGAGAGAUAGAUAGAGAGAUAGAUAGAUAUAUAGCGUACAGAUAGCAUACAGAUAGCAUACAGAUAGCGGUAGAGCAAAGUGAGAAGGCUAACGUUAACGUGAUGGCACUAUUUUACACUCGAUGUCUCCAAGACCUACCGAAGGUUAACAUCAGUGAUGUACAUCGGCUGGUAAAAGCGUCAAGCUCAGCCCCGAGGAGCAAAAGAGAAAAGGGGUUCAAGAUGUACAUAUCCAGUUACAUCGACAAUUAUGAAGGUAAGUGACAAACAAAGCUGUAGUUACUGCCUAACUUUGACAACUUGACAGUGUUGAUACAGUGUAAAGUGUUUUAAUGAUGUACUAUUACGUUUUUUUGGAUAACAUGAAUGAUGUCCAAUUCCCCACAGUUUCAAACAAAGAUCUACCUUCAGGGAGAGUGAGCAUCAGGGCUAGCUGUUACAGGUCCCUGAGAAAGCAUGAAAAGCCUCACGAUCUCAGAGUAGGGAGAAAAAUAAAAAGUGUUCAUCGGUUCAAAGCCUCAAUCAGGUUCAUGUUCUGGGGUUUUGAUGUAGCUAAAAUGACUGACAUUUUGUUUUACUGUGUAGAUUGUCUUUGAGAACUGCUCACCUGUGGAGAUUGCAGUGACAAAGUGUUCCUGUGUAGCUGGAACAGCACUCUGCAACCACAAUGUUGCACUGCUGUUCCAGACUGCACACUACUCCACACUCAACCUGGCUGCUGUACCCCCUGUCCUCAGCUGCACUGAAACAGAGCAGCGAUGGCACAAGCCAAGAACCAUGGGUGUGAAACCAGGCAGAGUGAGUGACAUGGUGUUCAUUUCCACUAAGCCAAAGCAGUUUACAGUUGCUGACGGGGUAAGGAGUACACGUUACAAGGCCGUGCGGGGGGAGCUGCCAGACCCAGAUGUCCUCAAAGUCUGCGAGGCAUACAAGGACUUCUCAGCAGACAUCGCACCAC